rnacentral:rRNA from 1 species
AUGGCGCGCAGCUUGCUGCAGCUGGAGGCGGCGGUCCUCGUUAGCGGGCUCGUCCUCGCCGCGAUGGUGCUGAACGGCAUCACCCGUAGCCCGGACAGCGACAGGCUGCUCCGCAGCGUCAUAUCGGGGGCGUACUCGCUGUCGUACGGUAUGGUCGCCUAUGCCGUCGGCCUCGUCCAGGAGCGGAGCUUCUUCCAUAGCGACACAUUCAGUCUAUGGGUCACCGCGCUGCUCCUGCUCCAGGCGAGCGCGUACGCGGCGCCCAGCCGUGACAUGGACCAGCUAAGGAUGCGGCUGCUCCACCACGUCCUCCAGACCGGCCUCGUGCUCUGGCUUGUCGUCAACAGCUUGGGCCACAACACCAGCUACCGGGCGGCCAUAUGGGCCUUCUGGAGCCUCAACGUGCUCAAGACAGCCGCCAGGAUCGUCGAGGUGUUCAAGGCGCGUCCCCUCCGCCCAUCUGUCGAGGUCGUCUCCGAGUACAUGGACGUCGAGCCGCUCCUCGCCGCCGACCAGCUGCCGGCCGACCCCACGACCAUGAAGGGGUACAAGUACCUUUUCCACGGCGAGGAGGCCAUCCAGGGGCAGCUGAGCCACCAACCCCGUUCUUCACAGGACGAGAUACUCAUGACGACGACGACGACGAGCUCGGUGCUGAGGAGGACGACGAGCUCGAUACUGACGGCGACGAUGAGCUUCGCCUCCGCCAAGGAGGUCGUCACCAUCGAUCAAGUUUACCGGUGGAUCGAUGAACAGGGAUACAGCGACGUCGAGAAAGACAUGGCCAAAGACAUGUGCCUGGCCUUCUCGCUGUUCAAGCUGCUGAAGCGGCGGUUCUACGGGUACAUCCCCGCGGAAACCGGCUCGCUCAAGUCGCUGGACCUCGUCCUGACCGGCCUCAUCCACCACGCCGUCACCGGCCCCGACACCGCCUUCCGGGUCGUCGAGGCGGAGCUGGCCUUCCUCUACGACUUCUUCUACACCAGGAACAUCGUUCUGACGGGAGCGAGGACCCACAUGUUUACUGCUGUCCUUGUGCUAGGCCUGAGCAUGUGGGCGACGUUCUUCGGCACGCUCGGCCACGGCUACAGUCGUAUGGUCAUCGGCGUAAGAAACCUCGACCACGCCGUCACGGUGGUGAUCAUCGUCAUCAUCGCGGCCCUGGAGCUGUGUCAGGCGGUGACUCGUUUGUACGACAACUGGAAGUACAUCGAGGCCGUGUACCGUUGCGUACGGGACAAUCGGCCCUGGUCGAAACGUCCGCGGCGCCAACUCUGGUGGAAGGAGAGCAUUACGCCGCCGGAGAUAAUGUACUGGGACCGGGAGCAGAUGGCCGGCGUGCUCCUUCAAUGUAUCAUAGAGAAGGCGGCGGUGCUCGGCGGGCAGCUCAGGGCGUCCGUGCCCGACGAAGGGCGGCGAUGGAAGGUGCUGGCGGAGUUCUGGGCCGAGUUCAUAUUGUUCCUCGCGCCGUCGGACAAUGUGGACAUCCACACCGAGAUGCUCGGUGCCGGCGGCGAGUUCAUGACACAACUGUGGGCUCUGCUCUCGCACGCCGGAAUCCUGGAGCGGACGGCCGCUGCCAUGCCGUCGGCACCAAGAGCGUGA